GGUUACUCUGAGUGAUUUCCGUUAAGGAGAUCUUUUGGCACCUCUAAAAAUGGUGCAGAAUAAGGGGUGGGCAAGUCUGGUGUCAGCCGCCGCGGUAAUACCAGCACCCCGAGUGGUCGGGACGUUUAUUGGGCCUAAAGCAUCCGUAGCCGGUUCUACAAGUCUUCCGUUAAAUCCACCUGCUUAACAGAUGGGCUGCGGAAGAUACUAUAGAGCUAGGAGGCGGGAGAGGCAAGCGGUACUCGAUGGGUAGGGGUAAAAUCCGUUGAUCAAUUGAAGACCACCAGUGGCGAAGGCGGCUUGCUAGAACGCGCUCGACGGUGAGGGAUGAAAGCUGGGGGAGCAAACCGGAUUAGAUACCCGGGUAGUCCCAGCUGUAAACGAUGCAGACUCGGUGAUGAGUUGGCUUAUUGCUAACUCAGUGCCGCAGGGAAGCCGUUAAGUUUGCCGCCUGGGGAGUACGGUCGCAAGACUGAAACUUAAAGGAAUUGGCGGGGGAACACCACAAGGGGUGAAGCCUGCGGUUCAAUUGGAGUCAACGCCGGAAAUCUUACCGGGGGCGACAGCAGAGUGAAGGUCAAGCUGAAGACUUUACCAGACAAGCUGAGAGGAGGUGCAUGGCCGUCGCCAGCUCGUGCCGUGAGGUGUCCUGUUAAGUCAGGUAACGAGCGAGAUCCCUGCCUCUAGUUGCUACCAUUAUUCUCAGGAGUAGUGGAGCUAAUUAGAGGGACCGCCGUCC
rnacentral:rRNA from 1 species